rnacentral:tRNA from 1 species
GCCAGUUUGGUUUAGUGGUUAAAGCACCAGGCUAGAAAACAGGAGACUGUGAGUUCUAGUCCCACUUUAAGCA